CACGUAGGGGGCAAGCGUUAUUCGGAAUUAUUGGGCGUAAAGGGCGCGUAGGCGGCAUGGCAAGUGGAUGGUGAAAUCCCUCGGCUUAACCGAGGAACUGCCGUCCAAACUGCUUCGCUUGAGACCGGGAGAGGUGAGUGGAAUUCCCAGUGUAGCGGUGAAAUGCGUAGAUAUUGGGAGGAACACCAGUGGCGAAGGCGGCUCACUGGACCGGUACUGACGCUGAGGUGCGAAAGCGUGGGGAGCAAACAGG
rnacentral:rRNA from 1 species